AGAGUGGUUUCGACCGUUGAAGGUUAUCACUCGGUUCUAGUUUCACAGCGACACGGUCUUCUAAUCUCGGGGGCACAAGGGUCGGAAGCAGUUUAUGGCAAACUGAAGUUCGCAUUAACUAUGUGAGGCGGACAACCCAACUUGCUCGCAACACCGCAUUGUUGGCAAAGAAUUCGUCAGAGAUGAUGAGUAGGAUUUGAUUUGGAACUUCCAACGCUUAGUGGCCUGCAAACUCAAAAUACGAUGGUUAAUUUGGACAGCUUUCAGCUCCUGCUACUGCAUGGCAUAACAUGGUACCCCUGCUCGGUGCGGCUCUCUGCAGACGUUGAAGAAAACGAGAGCUCCCCCGCAAGUUCAACACCCGCUAGACUCUCUACCUCAACACCCUCCACACGGUCAGAAACAGCGCCAUACCCUUCAUACGAGGUGGUGCGUGAUGUCAGUGACUUUCUCUUUGAACUAAAUUCGACAAUCAUUUAAUCACCGACACUCUUUAAAUAAAUAGUUCGUUAAGUUAUUAGUUUUGAAACUUCAAAAGUGAGCUGCUAAAAAUGCAUUUCAAUUCCUGUCUGCCACGUUAAUAACAUAGACAAUGAAGGCAGCAAGAUACAGUUUUAAAUGUGUUUUUCCUGGUAUUUCUGACAAUUGUAAAAAUCCAACUCAUAAUUUAAAUUGUUACAUUUUGCCAAAAACUGCAGAAGUUAAGCUUCAAACUCACGUAUCUUGCAUCCUCCCAUGCUGAUACUUGCAAAAGAACCCACAUGCACUGUCACCGAGUGGUUUACAUCUUCCUACCUGAUCAGGUAAGGGUUUCGUAGUUCUUCUUCCCAUGUUAAUAGAAGG
rnacentral:lncRNA from 1 species